rnacentral:ncRNA from 1 species
AUGUUAUCACGAAAGGUGGAGGGAAUAGACCCUUUGAAACCUUAGCAACCCUUUGCUCAUGCAAAGAAGGUGCUACAUUCUACCCAAUUUAAAAAGGGAUAGAUAACAA